UACGGAGGGGGCUAGCGUUGUUCGGAAUUACUGGGCGUAAAGCGCGCGUAGGCGGACCUGCAAGUCGGGGGUGAAAGCCCGAGGCUCAACCUCGGAACUGCCUUCGAUACUGCGGGUCUCGAGUCCGGGAGAGGUGAGUGGAAUUCCUAGUGUAGAGGUGAAAUUCGUAGAUAUUAGGAAGAACACCAGUGGCGAAGGCGGCGACCUGGGCCAAUACUGACGCUGAGGUGACGAAAGGCGUGGGGAGCAAACAGG
rnacentral:rRNA from 1 species